CCCUUAGAUGUUCUGGGCAGCACGCGCGCUACAAUGGUCUUCGCAAACGGAUGCAUUCUCGAAGGAGAAUGCCAAUCUUGGAAUCUAUGCCUUGGUCGGGACAGUUGCUUGCAAUUUUUCGACUCCAACCAGGAAUUCCUUGUAAUCGUGAUUCAUCACAUCACGAUGAAUACGUCCCUGCCCUUUGUACACACCGCCCGUCGCUCCUACCGAUCGAAGAGUUAGGUGAAUUGUUUUGAUCGAUAAGAUUUGACUAUGGUCAACUCUCGUUGUGAAAUUCUGUGAAUCUGACUGUUUAGAGGAAGGAAAAGUCGUAACA
rnacentral:rRNA from 1 species